UACGUAGGGUGCAAGCGUUAAUCGGAAUUACUGGGCGUAAAGCGUGCGCAGGCGGUUGUGUAAGACAGAUGUGAAAUCCCCGGGCUCAACCUGGGAACUGCAUUUGGGACUGCAAGGCUGGAGUGCGGCAGAGGAGACUGGAAUUCCUGGUGUAGCAGUGAAAUGCGUAGAUAUCAGGAGGAAUACCGAUGGCGAAGGCAGGUCUCUGGGCUGACACUGACGCUCAUGCACGAAAGCGUGGGGAGCAAACAGG
rnacentral:rRNA from 1 species